rnacentral:lncRNA from 1 species
CCAGGUACGUACCUUAAAUCUUCUUCAUGAUUGUGAUUGGUUUUCCUAUUAAGCAUGCUAUUUUUUGAAAUCACCUAGCCUACUUAGGUAUCCAUGAUUAACCGUUUAAUCGCUAUAUUUCCCUCAACUUAGUCAGUAGAGACCUUUUUAGGGCUUAGAGGGGUGCUACCUCCUAGAGGUACCUUCCCAAUAAGUAACCUGAUCCCCGGACCUACACUCGGGUUUUUCAAAG